rnacentral:lncRNA from 1 species
UUUGAAGGCAAUUGAAAGUUUAAAAUUACCUCAACUUUGAUGUUUCAUUGCCGUCUUAGGUCAGGGAAUGGCACAGCCAUUUCUUCUCAUUGUUAUGAGCAAAUUGAUUUUUUCAUUGUCAUAUGAGAAAAAAGUUGUGACAUGUGUCGCAUAUAGUUAUUUCUUUAAAUGGAUACGCACAUUAGCUUUGCAUGAUGGUUUAGCAAAAGAACAAAUUUAGUUGAAUGGAGUUUUUUUGGUUCAGUGUAUUUUUGAUGGUGCCAAUUGAAUAUCACCUAUACAUAU